GUGAACCAGGGCUGGGCUCUGUGCUUCGUCAGCAACCACUGCUGUAUCAACACACUGGUCCAGAUAUGUGGCAAAUAAAAAAAACACCUACACACACGGAUAUUCUAAUGUUUGUAUGCAAGGGAAUAAAAAGAUAACCAUGAACAGUAUCCCCGCACUACUUUAUACUCUCCAGGAGCAGGAGUCCAUGAGGUGGUCUUGCUUAAGCUGCGCACGUGUCUAAACAACUUCUCUAUUACACCCGAGACCUCUGAGGGCACUCCCCAUCGAGCGGGGAACAAAGGCCAUGACCCCUGGGUCAAAAGCGUUACACGGGAGGCCAAGCGGGCCCAUUGAAUUUUCCAUUGGUGUUUGCUUAAAGAAGGAUUCUGAAGAAAGAAGAGACGGACAAGAGCGAAGUAUAACUCCUCCUGAGAACAAGCGGGAAAUUAUAGACCACUUCCAUAUCACACCUAGGAGUGGACGACCUAUCCGAAGAGGGACGCACCCUGGCUGUACUUAACAACUGCUUCUGGCAGCUCCUCAACAGCCAAACAUAUUGUCCUUGAUCAGGGCAGCUUUCGUAUGACAACAUCCAAGCAGCUAUGGCAAGAAACCCAGACUAAAGAAGAUGAAUGAAAUCAAAAUGUUGAUACCAAUGCAUUAAAAUAAAAUGAUUGCAUGUACUUAUAUAUAUAUAUAUAUAUAUAUUUUUUUUUUUUAUUAUAUUUUUGGAUAUAAACUGAUCUCCCUUCAUUUUGCUCAUCAAACUUUAACAAAAUGUGGGAAAGAGAUUACAUUUGGAUUUUUGCACCAAAUCAGUUUUUCAAAUGAAACAUGUUUUGUGAAUGUUUCCACACAACAUUAGUCCUGUGAUAUUACAAGACCAAAUUAAAACACUGAUUCAAGUAGUAAAAACUCUGAAGUAGUUUUUUAGUCUUUAUAUUAAUAGUAUUAUAGCACUAAUAAGCACAAGAGUGUUAAUAAUGUAAAAAAUUCAAAUAAUAAUUAAAUUACCCAUUUUUAUAGCAUUACUCUUUACUCAUUGUAAUAUUCAAGUUAUUCUGGUAACUACAAGAGGCAUUUCAGUGAAAUAAAAAAAACAACCUUGUACUACUUGUUGAAUUAUAUUACUUAUUAACUUCUGUCACUUGUAUUAUUAUUAUGCGUUGAUAAUGGACCUGGGACAAAUUCUCAAAAAGAGUCAAAGAUGCAUUAAAAUAAAAACUUAACAUUCUCCUUUCCUUUCCAUGUGACCAUCCUGGGCCAGACUUGUUCAUACGUGAACUCUUGCUUUUCAGCAUCCCACUAAAGGCUGCUUCUACCCAUUUUAUUGUUGUGGCCAUCUUGUUUUAUUCCUCCUCUACAUUAAGCCAGGAGAGCACAGGCCUGGCAUUUUAGGGUCGGUGUCGAAACGCCCGUGUCUGCACCGCAGGGCUGCGCGGAGUCCAACAGUCGAGCCAUACGCACUCAGCGGCUCACUGCCUCGACAAACACUUUGUGCAUGCUGCUUUGUUUUCUCACACAUGCUCUCUAGAUUCCUUUCUCCCCUGAAAAACAGCAAAACAUGCAGCUUAUACACUUUAUUUAUUCCAUAAACAUGCUUUCCCUCUAGUGCCCGACCCGGAGAGCCACUGAGCCCUCAGCCCCCGAAUCACUUCACAGCACUUUGUCUCUUGUGAUCACCACAGAAAACUAAAAAGCUUUGAUCACACACAACAAGUGAGGCUGGAAAUACUAUGGCUACUCGUCCAAUUCCCACUUCACCGAUGCAAUUUAAUGAGCUUUAUAAUUGCUUCUAACUUAAUGCAUGGAUACAAAAUAUCUGUGGCAUCCCUUAAAAGAGGAACAGUACUUAUAUUGAUUUGAAAGUGACACGGAUAAAAACUCUGAUUACCUACAUUUUAAUUGGCUGACGGACUGUAAUUGAUCUGCAUAAUGUUAUUAGCAGAGGUAUAUUUAUCUAUGUGGGAGAGGAGCAGCGCUUCACAGGACAGCUGCGUAAACAGAGGGUUUAUUACUCCAUGGGUUAUUUCUGCCCAUUGAGUGGCUCCUUGCAAUUCAAGUAAAACAUAAUUUUUUUUGUGCAGCAAAAUAAUGUGUUGAAGACAAAUUUGAAAGAAAACAGACAGUGUCGACACUACAGGUCUAAAAAUGUACAUUGCACACAUUCCUUAUUCUCUCCUGUAUUUCACUGAGGUCUACCUGCCACCUGCCUGUUUGCUCUGUUUUGCUUUAUCAACUCUGUAAAAUGUGCAAUAACUUACACAAAUACAGUUUUACACUUGAUUCCUGUAUUUAAUAUUACAUUAUUGUAUUAGACUUUUAUAUUGAGAUAUGUAUUCAUGGAGCUCUUUUUACUGCAUUUUAUUAAAAUUUAAUUUCUAGUCUUGGUGCAUUGUCCAACACUAUAGAUAGAUAGAUUACUUUAUUCAUCUAUUCAUUAUACUGCUGACCCUGUGUAUAAGAUAAAUAAAACCUGACAUGUAACUAUGA